AUAGAAUCUCAGGUAAUAUUAGAAUAAGAUUACUGUUUUUACACCAAAGUCAAUUACAAUGCUUAUUAAUGUAAAAUUGAUUUUGGCAUAUAUUUCUAGAUUGUAUCUGCCAUCUGCCUCAUCCUCAACAACAAAAAUGAAAAGAGGUUUAAAGAACAAAUUGUCCCCCCCCCCCCCGAUAUUGUGUGCAUGGCACUUUCGGAUCACCCAAACGGGGAAUUCGUAUCACCAAAAACGAAAAAGGAAUUCAGGGUGGAAGCCUACCCGAGUUUCAUUCCCUUCAUAGAUA